AUAUUUGAACUAUCAGAACAACUCGAUGAAGUAUGUUAAAAUCUGAUCAGAUCUAUAAGAAAUAAAAAUUAAAGAUACAACUUGUGAAACAAAUGGGAGAAUUACAAACUAGAUAAAAAAAAUAUCUCCAGGUGGACCGGAAAAGGGAAAAAAGAAAUGAAAGAAAAGGGAAAUAAAUAUAAACUUCGCCCAGCGAAAAGGAUGAAAUUUCGCUGAAAUUCUGAAACAUGGUUUAAGAUUCGUAGCAUCAGAGCAACUCCAAAAAUUCCCUUAUAUUACUCCAAAACCUAAUUUAGGAAGGAAAAAAAACAAGAUCCAACAACUCCUAUUUUCCUCGCAAAAAUACAACGACGCUAAAAACUCAUCCGUUGCUAUCCGCGUCGCGACUCCUCAGAACUCCCCAAUCGGCCCCCCGUCUUCCUUUCCCGCGCGCAGAGCCGGUCCCGCCGAAUUUUUUCCCCGCUCGCGCCAGUUCUGGGAGGAGGCAAGCGUCGGAGGCGCGAGUGGCCUUGCGGCGAUGGCGGCGCGAACGGGCUUGCGAUGCAGCGACCACGUUCAUCUGCUCCGGUUCUGCAGGGGCAAGAACGGCCUGCGUCGAUCCCCCGCCCUCCCCUUUAGCCAUCUCAAUCAAUCCCACCCGCCGCCGCACCUUCGUUCGUCGUGAAUCGCCGCCAUCGCCGCCAUCGCCACCGUGGCACCUCAGGAGGCCACCCCGACGCCAAGAACCACGGGACCGAGGCCCCUACGUCGUCCCCGACGCGCGGCUCCGACCUCAUCGGCCUCUCGCCGUUCAACCACGCCCGUCGCCGAGCCCUCAUCGCUGCGGAAUCGAGGCCGGAACUCGCCGGGUGAGCUCGACCUCCGCUGCCUUUCCCCGUCGCCAUCCGAGCCUCCCUCACCCUCUCUUCUCCUUGUUUGGCCACGCAUAACCUCCGGAGGCUAUACCGACGCGCGGAAGCAAGAACCCGAGGCCGGAACCCCGUCCACCGCGCAAGCCCGCAAGCCCCGUCCGCCUCCGGCCGUCGCUCGUCAUGAAAUCAACGACGACGACACCCUGGUGAGCUGCACGAAAUCAAGACGACGCGUCGGAGGACAGAGGUAGGUGGCUCGAGCGCGUUUACCGUGGAAGGAGAAGGCAGCGCAGAGCAGCAGGAGGACGGGGAACCGGAGCGGCGGGGGUGGCGGCCAUUGAUGAGGGGGGCGGCCCAGCUCAAGGGGGCACGCGUGCUGAUGUGGCGAGUUUUAAAAUAUUGGGAAAUUUAUUAUCAAGAAUCUGCUGUGAGAUGUGAUGAUUUUGAGGAAAAUUUUUUUUAGUAGAGCCCUUCGAAACAUAGUUUUGGUAAAGAAUGUUUUGGAAACUCGCUCUCACACCAGUUACCGUCGUGCCGGCCUCACUCCAGGCUGCGGCGGCGCAGAUGGACCGCUAGGGCCACGCCCGGCAACGGGCGUAUCGACCACAGCCUGCAUUCUCGGCCACGACGACGGCGAACGGCGACUCAAGCCGUCGCGCGCGCGCGCCGGUACAACGAGCGCCGGAGAUUUAUUUCUCCAUGUUCAGGCUAUUGUUCACCACACACUAUAGUAGAUGUCCCUUGGAGUGAGAUUUUCAGUGACGAGGAUGUCCAACAAGCACAUGAGACCAAAAGCUCUUGAGGUCAGCACCUGUGACGUGAUCAGCAGCCUCCCUGAUGAGUUGCUCCACCAUAUACUGUCUUUCACGACAGCACGGGAGGCUGUACAGACAUGCGUGCUGUCCAUGAGAUGGCUCCACGUUUGGAAACCAUUGCGGCGCCUUAACAUUGAAGGACGCGAAUUCACUAGCAAGAUAGGAUUCAUGAAAUUCAUAGACAAUUUACUACUGCACCGUGGCUGUAUUCCUCUGGACAACUUUCAAUGGACCUCAAGUAGUAGUGUUUCCCUUGACGAUGACAGAGCUAACCGAUGUGUUUGCUAUGCUCUGCAUUGCAAUGUUCGUGAGCUUGGGAUCAUUGAGCAUCAUCAGCUAUUGAAUCUAGAUCACUCUUACUUCACUUCAGUCCAUCUGAGAAUACUCAAAUCUCUCUGGUGUUUCAAUCACUGACGUCUUCAUGGAGAGGCUUUUUUCUCGCUGUCCGGCACGAUGAUAGACUGUCAAUUUCUUGUCACCAAAUUUUCCUCUGCCACUCUGAGUAAUAAUUACAUCUCGUUGCAUUGAGGCAUAUGAUUUUAACGAUGAUUUUGAAGAUUUUCUGAUAGAUGCCCCAAACCUUAUGUCACUGCACCUGGAGGACCUUCCAUUUUUAGCUCCUUGCCUUGUGAAUGUAUCAUCCUUGGUAACAGCCUCAAUUUCCCUUGAAGAAGAGUCCUACUCGAGUUUUGAUGCAAAAUACAGUAUAUUUGGUGCUCUGUCAAAUGCUACGAAUUUGAAGUUGCUUGCUCCAGUUGACAAUUAUGAUAAUUAUCCAUCACAGUUAAACAAGGUGCUGAAAAGGGACCUCCUGAGGUGCCAGACAUUCAACAACCUGAAAAAAUUGUCUGUUGGUGAUUGGUGCGUGGAUGCUGACCUUCUUGCAUUGUUCGACUUGCUUCAAUUCUCACCAAUCAUACAGAAACUUACCCUGCAUCUUGGAUCGAUUGGAGCUUGGGUUAGUCAUUGUAAAACUGAUGAAUCAAAAGUGAAGGUCAAUUGUGAACAUCUUAAGAAGGUUAAAAUCACUUGUGUCCAGGGAGAUAAAAGGGUCCCCAAUAUUGUGAAAAUUAUACUUGCCAAUGCCAAAUCUCUGCUGGAAAUUGUUAUCAAGCCAUACGAGCGUUGGGUAGGUCAUGCAGAUGUUCAGGACUUUGGUAUUUUGACUGUGAAUUAGAGCCUCUCAUGAAGCACAUGAUUGGGUCAUGAUCUGAUUUCAAGCCUGCUUCCGAGCUACAAAGACGACGGAAGACAAUUCGGCUGCAAGGGACCUCCCGGCCUGAAAAGGACAUGAUGGAUUCAGGUCUCCCUCAGGUCCUCGUCUUGGUCAAUCGUACAUGCAUUUCUGAACGUCCAAGACUCUAAAAGAAGAUCGUUGUGGUCACUUGUUGCUUCAACAUGUGACAAGGCAUGCUUUGUUGAUCGGUAGAGGAAAGGGCUAUUUAGUUGAUCUCUUGUGUCUACCACUGGCUACUGUUGUAAUGUUGUGUGCUCUCUUGACCCAUUCGUUGGUUUCUUGUUUAGGGCACAUGUUGUAAGUUGCAACAUCUAACUGAUUUAUCCUUUGCAUAACAUCCUAUAUUCCUAUCA